rnacentral:rRNA from 1 species
UACGUAGGGGGCAAGCGUUGUCCGGAUUUAUUGGGCGUAAAGAGCGUGUAGGCGGCCAGGGAGGUCCGUUGUGAAAACUCGAGGCUUAACCUCGAGCUGUCGGCGGAAACCAUCUGGCUAGAGUCCGGAAGAGGAGAAUGGAAUUCCCGGUGUAGCGGUGAAAUGCGCAGAUAUCGGGAAGAACACCCGUGGCGAAGGCGGUUCUCUGGGACGGUACUGACGCUGAGGAGCGAAAGCGUGGGGAGCGAACAGG